rnacentral:rRNA from 1 species
AGCUCCAAUAGCGUAUAUUAAUGCUGUUGCGGUUAAAAAGCUCGUAGUUGGAUCUCGGUUGGGUGUGUUCGGUUGGCUGAUUGGCUUUACUGAAUCUGCAUCCAUCUGUUUUUGUGUGGUGUCGAUCGCGGGUGCUCUUAACCGAGUGUCCGCGUGUCGUCCACGUGUUUACUUUGAAAAAAUUAGAGUGCUCAAAGCAGGCCUCGUUGCGCUUGAAUAUUCGUGCAUGGAAUAAUGGAAUAGGACGUCGUUUCUAUUUUGUUGGUUUUCGGAAAUCGACGUAAUGAUUAAUAGGGACAGUCGGGGGCAUUAGUAUUCAGACGACAGAGGUGAAAUUCUUGGACCGUCUGAAGACUGCCAACUGCGAAAGCAUUUGCCAAGAAUGUUUUCA